AGCCCGGGGCCUCCGGCUCCCGCUUGACUCAAGGACACACCCCUCAGCCAGCCAUUGGUGCGGCCGCCAAGUUAGCCCCGCCCCUUUGCUUACGUAGGAAAAAGAUGUCUGUGGUAUUAGAGAAGUUGCCUGUCAUUCCUCCGCCCUGCGGCGUUGCUACGGUUUAGGUCCCACCCCUUCCCCUUUGAUCUUGGAAGCUUCUUGUUUAUUGGCCAUUGAUUGGCCAACAUAUAAGAACAACCCGCCCACUGAUUUUUCUUGGGGGCGGGAGAAACUUAAGGGAGAACUUUGAUAGGCUCAACCACUCUUGAUACUUUGACCGCGGCCAUUGGCCCUCACCACGUCGGGAUCCGAUUGGCUACGGGAAGAGAGCGAAGAGCCCAGGGGCGAGAGAGAACGGAUUUGGGCCCCAGACUAGCGCCUGGGGAGCUGCGGGUGCUGCAGGCGGGGUUCUCUCGGGGUGGGGGUGGGGGUGGGUGCCAGGCCUUCAAGGUCAAACCGCUGCAGUCAGCCGUUAGAACUGCGUUCGAGCGCGGGCCCCCAAAUCCCCAGACACGCGGGGUCGCGGGCUGGCGGGCGGCCCUGGCCCAAGAGCUCUGUUCCCGCGGGAUCUCGGGCGGGCGUGAGGUGGAGCCAGCUUGGGCCGGGUAUACCCUGGCGCGGCCCGCGGGCCUGUCCGGGAAGCUGUUGCGACAUGCGGGCGGAGGCCCGUUAGACUCCGGUUGGAUCUGGCGCGCUGUCUCCCCGCCCCAUGCCGCGCGCGAGCCGACUCCUGAGGGCCCUGUGCUCCUCAGGCCUCGGCGUGCCGCCCUGGGCUUGCACCCGAAGUCGCCCAGUAAACCCUGCGGUUGUUGAAUGAAUGAGUUCUCGGGGCCCGUUGUCGCUGGGUCCUGCGCCAGGCCGAGAGCUGGAGGCAGGAAAAAGAGAUGUCGAAAUGGGGCGGGAUGAUUCAGAGAUGACGACAGGUGGAGAGGCCGGUCUGGAGGCAGCUGCCCAAACAGCACAGAAAGUACGGCGACUAUGGAGAACCUCCGACAUAGAGUUUUUCCCUGAGCUGACGCACUGAUGACCACCACUGCCUGGUGGUGAUUGCCUUUUGUGAUAAGACCGCUGUCUCUCCCAGGCUGGUCGGGCGGGUCGGCCAGAGUUUGAGAGGGGCACUCACUGGUUAAAGAACAAUGCCAGCGAUUCCCAGCCUGGAGCACCACCUCCUGGGCCGUGACGUUGCGCGGGAGCUACACGAGGGUUGCCGGCUCUGUUGGGGAACGCAGGAGCUUUCUGCGUUCCUCCGUAGUCCCUGCUUCAGUAUCCCUUCUCUGGAGCGUGUUUGCACAAGCCUCCCCAGUGUUUCCAGCUCUGUCCUUACUACCUAUUUUACCGAGAUGAUGAUGGAGUUGUGAACUUCUCCAUCUCGGUAUAGCUUUUCUUUAAGGAAGAGGCUUUCCUUUUUUUCUUUAAGCGAAGCCCUUCUCUGGGCCUCUGGGGGUUUUUGUUUGUUUUUAACUGUUUUACUCAUCUAUUCUCUUUCUCUUAGCAAUGGUUAUUAACCUUUGGGUCUGGACCUUUGCGAAAGUAAGGAAACUACAAAUCCUCUUCCCUCCACUUCCCACCCCCCAUACACACACCUAGGGGUCCAUGAUCUUUAGGUUAAGAACCCUUCUCUACAUCUUCCCUCUUCUCUAGCUCGCUUCCCUUGAGAAAUGAGUAGGUAGGUCUCCUCAAAAGAUAAACCACUGAAUCCUGCUAGAGUACUAAUUCCCUCUACUGCCAAACUACUACAGUAAUGAGCUAUACCUGCUAUAUCUUUUCUCUCCUUAACCCCUAUAUUUAAAUUUUUUUUCUUAUUUUUUUUUUAAAGAUUUUAUUUAUUUGAGAGAGAGAGAACACGAGCAGGGGCAGCCGGCGAAGCACACUCCCUGCUGAGCAGGAAGCCCCAUGCGGGGCUCCAUCCCAGGACCCUGAGAUCAUGACCUGAGCGGAAGGCAGAAACCUAACGGACUGAGCCACCCAGGCGCCCCAACCCCUACAUUUUCACUCCUUUAUUCAGUGGCCACAAAUGACCUUUCCAAAUGCAAUAGUCUUUUUCUUAUUCCCUCUUGCCCCCACUGACCCAUCCCUCAUUGAAAUUUUUUCCUUCCUAGGAACCACUUAUUCUACGUUUUAGACUUCUCAGUCUCCUACACUUCUCUAAACACCGAGGGAAAACAUUCCUAAAGGGUUAAUGCUUCUUGUUCAUCUUCAAUACCUUAGAGAAACUUAAUCAUUCCAAAUCUGUUUUCCCCAUUGGACCUAUAUUUCUCCUUUCUUUCUCUCUUUCUCUCUCUUUCUUUUCUCUUUCUUUCUUUCUUUCUUUCAACUUAAACUUUAGUGAACAUACAGUGCAAUAUUGGCUUCUGGAGUAGAAUUAAGUGAUUGAUCACUUACAUAUAACACCCAGUGUUCAUGAUAACAAGUGCCCUCUUUAAUACCUAUCACCCAUAUAGCCACACCCACCCACUUCCCUCCAUCAACCCUCAGUUUCUCUACCAUUAAGAGUGUCUUAUGGCUUGUUUCCCUCCUUUUUUUCUUUUCACCGUUGCCAUGUGUUCAUCUGUUUUCUUUCUUAAAUUUCACAUAUGAGUGAGAUCAUACGGUAUUUGUCUUUCUCUGACUUAUUUCACUUAGCACAAUACACUCUUGUUCCAUCCAUGUCAUUGCAAAUGGCAAGAUUUCAUUCUUUUCCAUGGCUGACUAAUACUCCAUUGUAUAUACAAACCAUGUCUUCUUUAUCCAUUCAUCAGUCAAUGGACAUUUGAGCUCUCCUCAUAGUUUGGCUAUUGUUAAUCAUGCUGCUAUAAAGAUCGAGGUGCAUGUGUCCCAUUGAAUCUGUAUUUUUGUAUCCUUCGGGUAAACACCUAGUAGUGCAAUUGCUGGAUCAUAGAGUAGUUCUAUUUUUAACUUUUUGAGGAACCUCCAUACUGUUCUCCAGAGUGGCUGCACCAGUUUGCAUUCCCACCAAGAGUGCAAGAGGGUUCCCCUUUCUCUGCAUCCUCACCAACACCUGUUGUUUCUUGUUAAUUUUAGCCAUCCUGAUGGGUGUGAGAUGGUAUCUCAUCAUGGUUUUGAUUAGAUUUCCUUGAUGAUGAAUGAUGUUGAGCAUCUUUUUUUAGCCAUCUGGAUGUCUUUUUUUGAAGUGUGUCUAUUCAUGUCUUCUGCCCAUUUCUUAACUGGGUUUUUUGUUUUGGGGGGUUCAUUGCACACUUCUUAACUGAAAUUUCCAUGUGAACAUUCAGUAAAUAUUUAUUGAGGACCAGUUCUGUGCCUGGCACUGUACUUGAAGCUGGUGACACAGGACACAGUCCAUGGAGCUCUCAUGGAGCUUGCUUUUUAAUGAGGGGAGGGGGAUAGACAAAAAUACCAGUUAGCUCUAGGUACUAUUCUGAUAACUGAAAUAGGGAGAUGUGAUAAAGUGUGACUAGGUGGCUACAUUUAUUGGGCCAGGGAAAGCCUUUCUGAGAAGAUGACACUAAAUGACAGGCAGGAGCUCAUGAGGAACCCAGAGAAGAGCAUUCCAGAAGAAACAGUAGAUACAACAACCCUAAGGUACAUGGUAGGAUUGUUCUUCCCACCUCCUUAAUGAUAGGCAUGGCUGUGGAUUUGCUUUGACCAAUGAAAUGUGAGAGAAGCGUGAGAGCCACACACUAACUUUCCCUGCCACAUGACUGGUGAUGUUUAGAAGGUCCCAUCAGCCUGAGGCCCUGGUGAAGAUGAUGAAGCAAAGUCGCCUACUUGCCACCCCUUUCCUCCCAGAUGGACGUUCACCAUGAAUUAUUGGCUAUACCAUUUCACACCCCCUGGGAUGGCUAUAAUCAAAAACACAGAAAAUACGUGUUGACAAGGAUGUGGAGAAAUUGGAAUCCUCACACGUCGCUGCUGGGGCCGUAAAAUGGUUCAGCCACUGUGGAAAAUAGUUUAGCGGGUCCUCAAAAAGUUAAACAUAGAGUUACCGAAUGACCCAGCAAUUCCACUCCUCGGUAUAUUGAAAAGAAGUACUUAAACAAGUACAUGUAUAUGCUUGUUUAUAGCAGCACUUUUCACAGAGGCAAAAGGUGGAAACAGUCUAAGUGUCCAUAAACAGAAGAAUGGAUAAACAAAUUGUGUUCAUACACAAGAUGAAUAUAAUUCCACUGUAGAAAGGACUGAAGGAGUGACACAUACUACCAUGUGAAUGAACCUCGAAAAUAUGUUAAAUGAAAGAAGCUACUCAUAUGAAAUAUCCAGAAGAGGUGCCUCUGUAGAGACAGAAUGCAGACUGGUAGUUA